UACAGAGGGGGCAAGCGUUUGUUCGGAAUUACUGGGCGUAAAGGGCGCGUAGGCGGCCUGCUAAGUCGAACGUGAAAUCCCCGGGCUCAACCCGGGAACUGCGUCCGAUACUGGCAGGCUUGAAUUCGGGAGAGGGAUGUGGAAUUCCAGGUGUAGCGGUGAAAUGCGUAGAUAUCUGGAGGAACACCGGUGGCGAAGGCGGCAUCCUGGACCGAUAUUGACGCUGAGGCGCGAAAGCGUGGGGAGCAAACAGG
rnacentral:rRNA from 1 species